rnacentral:rRNA from 1 species
GACGAACGCUGGCGGCGUGCUUAACACAUGCAAGUCGAACGGAAAGGCCCUGCUUUUGUGGGGUGCUCGAGUGGCGAACGGGUGAGUAACACGUGAGUAACCUGCCCUUGACUUUGGGAUAACUUCAGGAAACUGGGGCUAAUACCGGAUAGGAGCUCCUGCUGCAUGGUGGGGGUUGGAAAGUUUCGGCGGUUGGGGAUGGACUCGCGGGUUAUCAGUUUGUUGGUGGGGUAGUGGCUUACCAAGGCUUUGACGGGUAGCCGGCCUGGGAGGGUGACCGGCCACAUUGGGACUGAGAUACGGCCCAGACUCCUACGGGAGGCAGCAGUGGGGAAUAUUGCACAAUGGGCGGAAGCCUGAUGCAGCAACGCCGCGUGCGGGAUGACGGCCUUCGGGUUGUAAACCGCUUUCGCCUGUGACGAAGCGUGAGUGACGGUAAUGGGUAAAGAAGCACCGGCUAACUACGUG